rnacentral:rRNA from 1 species
AUUGAACGCUGGCGGAAUGCUUUACACGUGCAAGUCGAACGGCAGCACGGACUUCGGUCUGGUGGCGAGUGGUGAACGGGUGAGUAAUGUAUCGGAACGUGCCCAGUCGUGGGGGAUAAUGUAGUGAAAAUUACGCUAAUACCGCAUACGAUCUAUGGAUGAAAGCGGGGGAUCGCAAGACCUCGCGCGAUUGGAGCGGCCGAUAUCAGAUUAGGUAGUUGGUGGGGUAAAGGCCCACCAAGACAACGAUCUGUAGCUGGUCUGAGAGGACGACCAGCCACACUGGAACUGAGACACGGUCCAGACUCCGACGGGAGGCAGCAGUGGGGAAUUUUGGACAAUGGGCGAAAGCCUGAUCCAGCCAUUCCGCGUGCAGGAUGAAGGCCCUCGGGUUGUAAACUGCUUUUGUACAGAACGAAAAGGUUUCUACUAAUACUAGGAGCUCAUGACGGUACUGUAAGAAUAAGCACCGGCUAACUACGUGCCAGCCGCCGCCGUAA